rnacentral:rRNA from 1 species
UACGAAGGGGCUAGCGUUGCUCGGAAUCACUGGGCGUAAAGGGUGCGUAGGCGGGUCUUUAAGUCAGGGGUGAAAUCCUGGAGCUCAACUCCAGUAACUGCCUUUGAUACUGAGGAUCUUGAGUUCGGGAGAGGUGAGUGGUAACUGCGAGUGGUAGAGGUGAAAUUCGUAGAUAUUCGCAAGAACACCAGUGGCGAAGGCGGACUCACUGGCCCGAUACUGACGCUGAGGCACGAAAGCGUGG